GUUCAAGUGAUUCUCCUGCCUCAGCCUCCUGAGUAACUUGAGGACAGAAGAGCUCCUUGGCACUGGACGCCUCCGGGUCUGGUGAGAGAGGAAUGGUUAGGAGACUGUUCUGAGGAUACGCAGACAUCAUCCAAAACUUCCUACAUUCAGAUGAAGAAGAGGUUGGGCCAGAGCUUUGCAUGCUUGUUACCUAAGGACGGUUCUGACCAUGUGAGCAGAUCACAGAAGGGUCCCAUGGGAACAGAAAGUUUUGAGGGAGUUUACUGUUUGUGCAAGAUGACUGGUUGGGUAAAGAAGUGCAAAGUUUUUUUAUCUGCAGAACAAAUAAAGCCUGGGCAAAGGUGAAAAAGAUUGAUCAUCAGAUGUUUCUUAUGAUUCAACUUGAUAUUUAAAUCCAUGAAGGAGUGAGAUGACAAAGGCAGGUAAAUUGACAGAGAAGAGGUCCCUGGUCUGCGCCCUGCGUUGCUGGAACUGUUAGAGAUUAGGAAGAAGAGGAAGACCUGGCAAAAGAACGUGGUGAGAUAUAGGAAGAAAACCAGAAGCUGUGGUCACUGGAAAUCAAAAGAGGAAAAGGCCUCCAGAAGGACAAAGUGUACAGUGUGUCAAAGGCUCCUGAGCAAUCAGAGGACAGCACAAAAGGGGUCACAGGACACUGGCACCUGGAUCACCCAGUGACAUUUCCCAAUUAUGAGAAACUGUCAGAACAACAGGGGCACUUUCUGCACCAGCAGUUCUUCAGUGCCCAAAGGCAACCUUGAUGGUCUAAUUUUGGAGGAUGGCAAUUCAUUGACAGCACUCCCCAAAUGAUAUACGUAAAAACGAAUAAAACCCCCCAACCAAGGCAGCCUCUCCCAGCUCCUGGCUUUGAGUGAAGAGAAACCUGGAGAAGCAGUCCCAGGGCAGCCUCUGGGUCAGCUUUCCCUAAUAAGAAGGCAGAGCUCCUCUUUACCCAGACAUCAGACCCAUGGAGGCAGCCUGGGGUCCCGGGAUGCCCUCCCACUCAGAGAUGUCCCCAGCGUCCUAGGAAAAUGGAGGAUAACUAGGAGGAAGCUGUCCGUGGCUGGGGAUGGGUCUACACAUUCUAGUCCAUCUCAGUGCUGUCUGCUAUUGAUUUUUUGUGCAGAUCACAUUAAUUUAAAGCCAGUUCUCAAGAAGUGCCACCCCGCCCCCGACAUAUCCACCAGUUGGUCCCCUUUCCUGCCAUUAAUCAGUGUCUGCUAAUUAGAGAACAAACUCCUGUUUGUCCAAACUGUUGCCAAGACCCCCACCCCAAGGCAGUUAAAUGAGGAUAAAUGAGUCCAUCUUGUUAAAAAGUGACUUAAAUGUAUCAAAUUCUAUUUAUGUUUCUUUUACAUCCCAAUUUUCUAUAGAUUUAGUGAUUCCAAAUGAUAAGGUCUCAAGCUUAUAGUAAUUUAUCCCUUGAAUAACACAAGCUUGGCAGUAUUUUGGUAAUAUUCAUGACAGCAGCAGUUGUGCUAACAAGGACUCAUGUCAGCAGAGCACCACCACACUUCCCAUGCAUUAUCUCAUUUAAUUUUCACAAAAGCUCGCAGAGGUAAAUAUUAUUAUCUUCCUCUGCAUAUAAGGAAAUGAAUGUUCAGAAAGAUUAAAUCAACUCGCUGAGAUGUUACAGGUGCUCUUUCAUAGGCCUCUGCAGCCGUCUCAUUGAACUACUGAAAUCAGAAAAACCUGGAGACCUCGCUAACCUUCAGAUUCCCGGGCCGCGUCCUGGAUGCAGGGAGUCAGACUUCCUGGGAGUGUGGCCCCGGAAUUUGCAUUUUUAAACACAUUCCCCAGGAGACUUGUAGGCACACUGAAGUUGGAGAAUUCAUGAUCUCUGGCUUUUGUGAUGUUUUAAAUGCACUACAUAAAUCCAAUAGCAAAAGAGUUGGGCUUUGGGAAGGGAGUGUCUGGUGAACCCUGAAAGCUGAAGGGACUUCCUUCCUGUGGAGGAGCAGUGGGAAAAAUUGGAGGCAGAGAGCUGUGUUGCAGUCCUUGAUUGAGCUUAUGUGAGUUAUUUAGUCUCUCAGUCUCUAUUUUUUUCAUCUGUAAACCAGGAAGGAUACUUUUAUUUUUCAGGUGGUUGUGAAGUGUGAAAGAGAUGAGAGUAGAAUAAAAUUUUAAAAAGUUGAACUCAACACUCAACAAAUGUAUGUGAUAUUAAUCCUGAGUUUCCCUGGGGCUAAGGAAGCCACCCACCGCAGGCCUGUUACACAAUGCCAGGCACCUCGUAUGGAUACAGGGGAGGCAAAGGGAGAAGCAAACACUCCUAGGGCCUGGAUAUCUUGAAUACCUGUCCACAUUUCUUGAAAGGGGCCAUUUCUUCUUUAACUCAAAGGAAUUUAUUAUUUUUAAGCCAGGAGGCAUGCUUUCUUUCUGCUGCUGAUACUCCCAGCCCAAGCUGUUUCUUGUGGGACUGAGGUGUGACUUUUGCCUCAGUUUCGUCCAUCUGUGCAGGAAAGAGAGAAAUACCUGCCCCUCCAUGGGUCACACCCUCUGUCGGAACCACCUCCAUAAGCCAGAACGAUUGAAUGCUCUCUAUGUGCCAGAAUUAAUAUUUCAUUUGAUUCUCACAACAAUGCCAUGAAGUCUAUACAGACAUACGUUGGAGAUACAGUGGGGUUUGUCCAGUCCACCGCAAUAAAGCUAAUAUCGCAAUAAAACAGGCCACACGAAUUUUUUGGAUUAGGUUUGGGUUUAAGGGAAUGUUGUGGCUGGUUUGAUCUUUUAUCCAGACCGCUAACACUUUCUCCUUAUCAGCAAUAAGGCUGUUUUGCUUUCUUAUCAUUCCUGUG